GUGCUCGCUUUGGCAGCACAUACACUAAAAUUGGAACGAUACAGAGAAGAUUAGCAUGGCCCCUGUGCAAGGAUGAUACGCAAAUUCGUGAAGCGUUCCAUAUUUUU
rnacentral:snRNA from 1 species